ensembl:lncRNA
AAAGAAGUGAAAAGAGCCAGCACUCACACACCUGCCACUGCUGACUCAAUUGAUUCCCCUGAGGUACUUGUUGCUGCCUUCUCCCUGCUGAGUUGAGCUCAGUGCUUCAUUGUAUGGAGUGACACGACUGAGGGAGCAGUGGGUCAUCAGGUUGGAGCAGAGGAAUCAACACCUGCAGAGUUUCUUCGAGGAGAGAAUGAGACAAGCGCAGAAAUCCCAGCAAAUCCUCGGAAAGACCGAUUCACCCUGAAACCAGCAGAUAAGCCAGAAGGUGGUUAAAGAAAGAACAGCUGCUGUCCAGAUAUUGUUUAUGGUGCUAAAAAAUAAAUGUGUAAAGGUCAGACCUUUACACAUUUAUUGUCAUUGAUUUUUAUGAAACAGAGGAACUAAAACAAACAAAAAACAAAACUAUAUUCAAUAUAAAUUAAAUCCACUAAAACUCCAUGAACACUGUUAUACUUUAUUGCUGCCUGGUGCCACUGCUUAGCCAGUGUCAUGUAAAUAUGUUGAGGAUACCAUGCGUUCUUAAAUAAGUAAAUGUGAUGUCUAUAUUUGCAGUAAUAAAAUCAAAAGAUUAAAAAUGCUUCAUGUGUUGGCUG